CUCCCGGGCCUUGUACACACCGCCCGUCACACCACGAAAGUCGGUAACACCCGAAGCCAGUGGCCCAACCCUUUGGGAGGGAGCUGUCGAAGGUGGGAUCGGCGAUUGGGGUG
rnacentral:rRNA from 1 species